UACGUAGGGGGCAAGCGUUGUCCGGAAUCAUUGGGCGUAAAGCGCGUGUAGGCGGUUCAGUAAGUCUGCUGUGAAAGUCCAGGGCUCAACCCUGGGAUGCCGGUGGAUACUGCUGGGCUAGAGUACGGAAGAGGCGAGUGGAAUUCCCGGUGUAGCGGUGAAAUGCGCAGAUAUCGGGAGGAACACCAAUUGCGAAGGCAGCUCGCUGGGACGUUACUGACGCUGAGGAGCGAAAGCGUGGGGAGCAAACAGG
rnacentral:rRNA from 1 species